AUGUCAUACACUUCUAAAUUUUACAGAAAUUUCACGAAGAGAGAGAGAGAGAGCAGCAGGAGGAGGUUGGAGUUCAGAGCAGCAGCAACGUGGAGGGUUGAGGGAGAAGAGGGAGCAGCAGCGGUAGGGGAGAGGAGGCAGCAGCAGCAGGUUGAGGAGAAGAAGGAAGGCAGCAGGGGCGUGGGGAUCAGCAGGGAGGCGCAAGGAGAAGGAGCAAAAGGGAAUACGAGCAGCAGCAAGGGGAUUCAGAGACGAGGGAAGGAGGAGCAGCAGCAGUGGCAUGAGAGGAGCAGCAGAGAGAGUUGA
rnacentral:rRNA from 1 species